AUGAAUUUCACUUCAUUAAACUACACACAUAUUCAUAAUUAUUAUUAAGUAGGAAUAAAUCUUAGCUAAGCUACGACACGUUCGUGAUUAAUUGCUUUUUCUUUUGUUAUGUAUUGUUUUAAUUAGGCACAGAGGUGAAAAUAUGCGAUUUUGACUAACAUUUUUAAUCGGCCUCGUACAUGCUUAUUUUUUCUCCUCUUGGCAUGAAAAGCAUGUCAUUCAAUAGCUAAAAGCCUGAUCUUUCCAAAUAUGAAAACCAAUUGUUCAUACGCAGAGUACAUAAAUUCACGUAUAAUAGCGUGCUGAAGUUCGAUUACCUUUUUUUAUAUACUACCCUGUAUAUCAAGAUUUUGUUGCCAUCUCAACCAAGUGUCUGGUUACUAUGGUAGAUGAAAAUUAUCAAGUGGAAAUUUACAUACAGAGUGAAAUAAUAAAGUAGGCAGGGUCGCAGCUAGAAGACCGUGACCAGAACUGGAAAAACACAGGAAGAUAAAAAGAACGUGGCUUGAUUAUUUGUGUAAAACUGUGUAGGUUCAUAAAAUACAAUGUAGUGCUACUUACAACAGUCAGAAUAUGCUUCUAUUUAUUUCUUUAAAAAAAAACAGUGUAAAAUCUAGUUUGCAGGAGGUUAAUUCUGUGAUGUCUUUGUGUCAGGUGCAUGCAUGUCUAUAGUUUUGCCCAACAUUAUAAUAUAAGUCCUUUUAAUGUCAGAAUGACAUACAUGUGUGCGCUUAUGUUGGCCUUGUAUUUGGUUGUAUCACAUAGAACAACCAUUGGCAAGCAUUACUGAAACACUCUGAAAUUUACAUGACAGCACUCCCAAAAUCUCAAAUCCAAGCUAAGACCCUGAAAUUAGGGUCAAACACAUUUAAUAAAUUAAAAUGAAUUAACCAUUAAGCGCCAGCGCUCUCCCCUUGACGAGUAAAAUCGUCUGGCAUUAGAGAAAAUACUAAAGUAGGGUGCAUCAGGGUGCAAUGUGACUCAAUGGGUUAACUAGACACAUGGGCAGAUAGGCCAGUUAACCCAUCAAGCGCCAGCGCUCUUCCCUUGACGAGUAAAAUCGUCUGGCGUUAGACAGAGUAAAAUACUAAAGUAGGGUGCAUCAGGGUGCAGUGCGACUCAAUGGAUUAAACAAUAUGAUGUAAGCUAGGUUGUUUAGAUAAUUAUCUCAGUGUGUAUUUCUAAUUACUAAUAAUAUCAUGUAUGUGUGAUUAUAAGUGUAUUGAAUGAGACAAAUGAAUGUAAUCAGUUCAUAAUUUAUUCUUUAAAUAAAAGCAAUAUUAAAUUAAUCUAAAAGUAAUAAACAGCUUAUACGUCCAGAUUUGGAACUUAUAGAGUAUCAUAGAAGUUGUUGAACCUUAGUAGCAUAGAAGAUGGAAUGCCGGAUUUGACUGUAAUGAUAAUUUGUAUUUUAAUUCAAAUUACAACUUGUGUUGUAUAUACCAUACAUCUUAAUAAAUA
rnacentral:lncRNA from 1 species